rnacentral:rRNA from 1 species
GACGAACGCUGGCGGCGUGCUUAACACAUGCCAGUCGAACGGAAAGGCCCUGCUUUUGUGGGGUGCUCGAGUGGCGAACGGGUGAGUAACACGUGAGUAACCUGCCCUUGACUUUGGGAUAACUUCAGGAAACUGGGGCUAAUACCGGAUAGGAGCUCCUGCUGCAUGGUGGGGGUUGGAAAGUUUCGGCGGGUGGGGAUGGACUCGCGGCUUAUCAGCUUGUUGGUGGGGUAGUGGCUUACCAAGGCUUUGACGGGUAGCCGGCCUGAGAGGGUGACCGGCCACAUUGGGACUGAGAUACGGCCCAGACUCCUACGGGAGGCAGCAGUGGGGAAUAUUGCACAAUGGGCGGAAGCCUGAUGCAGCAACGCCGCGUGCGGGAUGACGGCCUUCGGGUUGUAAACCGCUUUCGCCUGUACCGAAGCGUGAGUGACGGUAAUGGGUAAAGAAGCACCGGCUAACUACGUG